UUAUGUGAAGAAGGCAGAACAGCAUGGAAGGUUUUUUGUGUCUCGUGUCCACGAAAUACAGCCAGAUCGACACUAAACCAUGCUGCACACCUAGAAAACUGAUUUUAGGAUUAACACAACAAUCUGCACAACCUGAACCA